GUGGAUUAGAUACCCUAGUAGUCCACGCCGUAAACGAUGAAUGCUAGGUGUUAGGGGUUUCGAUACCCUUGGUGCCGAAGUUAACACAUUAAGCAUUCCGCCUGGGGAGUACGGUCGCAAGACUGAAACUCAAAGGAAUUGACGGGGACCCGCACAAGCAGUGGAGUAUGUGGUUUAAUUCGAAGCAACGCGAAGAACCUUACCAGGUCUUGACAUCCCUCUGACCGGUCUAGAGAUAGACCUUUCCUUCGGGACAGAGGAGACAGGUGGUGCACGGUCGUCGACAACU
rnacentral:rRNA from 1 species